rnacentral:rRNA from 1 species
AGAACGAACGCUGGCGGCAGGCUUAACACAUGCAAGUCGAACGCCCCGCAAGGGGAGUGGCAGACGGGUGAGUAACGCGUGGGAACCUACCCAAUUCUACGGAACAACUGAGGGAAACUUCAGCUAAUACCGUAUACGCCCUACGGGGGAAAGAUUUAUCGGAGUUGGAUGGGCCCGCGUUGGAUUAGCUAGUUGGUGAGGUAACGGCUCACCAAGGCGACGAUCCAUAGCUGGUCUGAGAGGAUGAUCAGCCACACUGGGACUGAGACACGGCCCAGACUCCUACGGGAGGCAGCAGGUGGGAAUAGUGGACAAGUGGGCGAAAGCCUGAUCCAGCAAUGCCGCGUGAGUGAUAGGAAGGUCCGUUAGGGUAGUAAGCUUACGUUUACCGGAUGAUAAUGAUACGGUACGGAAGAAUAGCGUCGACUAACUCCGU